rnacentral:rRNA from 1 species
GACGAACGCUGGCGGCGGGCCUAAUACAUGCAAGUAGGACGCAGUUGCGAACGGGUGAGUAACGCGUAGGUAACUACCUAUCAGCGGGGGAUAACUAUUGGAAACGAUAGCUAAUACCGCAUACUAGUAGAUGGACCUGCGUUGUAUUAGCUAGUAGGUAGGGUAAUGGCCUACCUAGGCAACGGUACAUAGCCGACUUGAGAGGGUGAUCGGCCACACUGGGACUGGGACCCUGCCCAGACUCCUACGGGGGGCCGCAGUAGGGAAUCUUCGGCAAUGGGGGGAACCCUGACCGAGCAAAGCCGCGUGAGUGAAGAAGGUUUUCGGAUCGUAAAGCUCGGGUGUUAAGGAAGCGGUACUUAACCAGAAAGGGACGGCUAACUACGUGCCAGCAGCCGCGGUAAUUC